UACGUAGGGUGCGAGCGUUGUCCGGAAUUAUUGGGCGUAAAGAGCUUGUAGGCGGUUUGUCGCGUCUGCUGUGAAAAUCCGGGGCUCAACCCCGGACUUGCAGUGGGUACGGGCAGACUGGAGUGUGGUAGGGGAGACUGGAAUUCCUGGUGUAGCGGUGGAUUGCGCAGAUAUCAGGAGGAACACCGAUGGCGAAGGCAGGUCUCUGGGCCACUACUGACGCUGAGAAGCGAAAGCAUGGGGAGCGAACAGG
rnacentral:rRNA from 1 species